rnacentral:RNase_P_RNA from 1 species
AGUCGGCGAGACGGCCGCGUAAAUAGAUAUUUAUGAGGAAAGUCCGAGCAGCGCAGGGCAGGAUAACGGCUAACGGCCGCCGGGGGUGACCCUAGGGAAAGUGCAACAGAAAUAUACCGCCGCGAAAGCGGUAAGGUUGAAAAGGCGAGGUAAGAGCUCACCGAAAGAGCGGAGACGUUCUUUGCCAUGUAAACCCUAUCCGCUGCAACAUCGACUGAAGAGUUGUUUGCCCGACACAUAACUUCGACAGAUGGCUGGAGCGUUUCGGCAACGAAACGUCGAGAUAGAUGGUCGUCCACGACAGAACUCGGCUUACUGCCGGCU